rnacentral:rRNA from 1 species
GAUGAACGCUGGCGGCGUGCUUAACACAUGCAAGUCGAACGAUGAAGCUGGAGCUUGCUCUGGUGGAUUAGUGGCGAACGGGUGAGUAACACGUGAGCAACCUGCCCCUGACUCUGGGAUAACAGCCGGAAACGGCUGCUAAUACCGGAUAUGCACCAUGAACGCAUGUUCUGUGGUGGGAAAGAUUUUUCGGUUGGGGAUGGGCUCGCGGCCUAUCAGCUUGUUGGUGAGGUAAUGGCUCACCAAGGCGUCGACGGGUAGCCGGCCUGAGAGGGUGACCGGCCACACUGGGACUGAGACACGGCCCAGACUCCUACGGGAGGCAGCGGUGGGGAAUAUUGCACAAUGGGCGAAAGCCUGAUGCAGCAACGCCGCGUGAGGGAUGACGGCCUUCGGGUUGUAAACCUCUUUUAGCAGGGAAGAAGCGAGAGUGACGGUACCUGCAGAAAAAGCGCCGGCUAACUACGUG